AUUGAACGCUGGCGGCAUGCUUUACACAUGCAAGUCGAACGGUAACAGGCCGCAAGGUGCUGACGAGUGGCGAGCGGGUGAGUAAUGCAUCGGAACGUGCCCAGUCGUGGGGGAUAACUACUCGAAAGAGUAGCUAAUACCGCAUACGAUCUAUGGAUGAAAGCGGGGGACCGUAAGGCCUCGCGCGAUCGGAGCGGCCGAUGUCAGAUUAGGUAGUUGGUGGGGUAAAGGCUCACCAAGCCAACGAUCUGUAGCUGGUCUGAGAGGACGACCAGCCACACUGGGACUGAGACACGGCCCAGACUCCUACGGGAGGCAGCAGUGGGGAAUUUUGGACAAUGGGCGCAAGCCUGAUCCAGCAAUGCCGCGUGCAGGAAGAAGGCCUUCGGGUUGUAAACUGCUUUUGUACGGAACGAAACGGCUCUGGUUAAUACCCGGGGCUAAUGACGGUACCGUAAGAAUAAGCACCGGCUAACUACGUG
rnacentral:rRNA from 1 species